GAUGAAGAACGUAGCGAAAUGCGAUAAGUAAUGCGAAUUGCAGAAUUUCCGUGAGUCAUCGAAUCUUUGAACGCACAUUGCGCCCGCUAGUAUUCUGGCGGGCAUGCCUGUCUGAGCGUCAUUUCAACCCUCGCCCCCGGCUUUUGCUGGGAGCGGUGUUGGGGAUCGGCCGCCCGUCACUGGGAGGCCGGCCCCGAAAUAGAGUGGCGACCACGCCGUGUGCUCCUCUGCGUAGUAGUAAAUCACCUCGCAGGCGGACAGCGGUGCGGCCUGCCGUAAAACCCCCAACUCUUUCUUUGGUUGACCUCAGAUCAGGUAGGAAUACCCGCUGAACUUAAGCAUAUCAAUAAGCGGAGGA
rnacentral:misc_RNA from 1 species